CAUCCCAUCCCAUCCCAUUCCAUCCCAUCCCUUGAGUUGUUACACCUACCUUGCUCUGCCUUGCCUUUCACCACCUACCUCCCUCUUACUUUGCCUUGCAGACCCAUCCAUUGCCUUUCCUAUCCCUCCCACUCCCCUACCCUGCCUUGCCUACCUCACUUGCUUUAUCCCCAUUUGUCACAUUCAUAUUUUCUGAAAAAUCCCUUCACCCAGGAUUUUUCUCCUGGGAAGCUGAGAAGCAUCCGAGAUAAAGGAAAACAAUUUUCUCUCAUUUGCUUCUCUAAUGUUUUGCUCCUUUGGAAUGGUUUGAGAUUUUUUACCAACAGGUGGUUGUUUAAUUGGAUUUCUGAUGUGAAUUGUUUUGACUUAUUGGCCAAUCAGGGUCAAGGUGUGUCAGGACUCUGGAGAGAGUCACAAGUUUUCAUUAUUAUCUUUUUAGCCUUCUGUAAGUAUCCUUUCUGUAUUCUUUAGUAUAGUAUAAUUUAGUAUUCUUUAAUAUAAUAUAGUAUCAUAAAAUAAUAAAUUAGUCUUCAGAGAACAUGAAAUCAGAUUCAUUCCUUCCUUCAUCUGAGCACCCCGCAAAUACAAUACCCACUGACUUUCUUGUCUUGCCUACCCCUCCCUCUCCUUGCCGGGUCUACCCGUACCUGGCCUGGUCUUGUCUUCCUCUCUCCUGCCUUGUUGUGCCUUGUACACACCUCCCUUGCCUUACCUUGCCUAAUCUCUUGGCUUGAUUUCUUUCUUAUCAGAAGGCUAAAGAAUUACUUUAUUAUUCUAUACUAUAUACAUUGCAUCUAAACUGAAUCUGCCUUGCACUCACUCUUGCUCACAACUGCACCAAACUGCACUCAUCUCCAAUUCUCUCAUGACUGUCCCAUGACAGUCUGACACACAAACACACUCUUGGCCCUGAUAGGCCAAAGGAACAAAACUUCCUCGCUUUGAGUAAACAAUCUCCACAUUGCAUUCCACUUCAGCACAGCAAGCGAGAUAAGAAUUAUGUUUUCCUUCUUCUCUGCUUGUUUUACAGCUUCUCUCUGUUCAGAGAGCAUGUGAAUACCACACUACAGAGCCCCAGUGUUUCAGGGGCAGAUGGGAAAGAAAAGCAUGAAGUCCAAGUAUCUUAGGGGAGAUGAGAGGUGGCUCCCGUGAGGGCAAGGCCAGCCAGAACAAUCUGUCCUGGUAGGCUUGUCUAGGAACAACUCUUGGAUAUACAGAAUUUUUAAUGUGGAAUCCCAGUUUUGGCCAUUUGUGCCUGGAGAAGAAAAGGAAAGCAUGGAGCACUGGUGUUUGAAAGGCAGGUGAGAGCCAGCCCUCAGGAGGCCAAGGCCAGCCAGGCUUAUCAGUAAUGGCAGAUUUUGCGUGAAAGCAACCCUUGCAUAUAGAGAAUUUUGGAGGUGGAAUCCCAGUUUCUGCCAUGGGUGGCUGGACAGAAGAGAUGGGUCUUUUCCAUAGCCAGAAAAGCAUGGAGUCCCAGUGUUUCAAAGGUAGAUGAGAGCUGGACCUCAGGAAGCCAGGAGCAGCCAGACUUGUCAGCUUUUGUCUGGGAGCUAUCCCACGAUAUUCAUAAUUUUGGAGGUGAAUUCCCAAUUUUUUUGCCAUAGGCACCUGGAGGAGAAGGACAGCUCUUUCCUGUAGAAAGGAAAGCACAGAGCCCCAGUGCAUCAGAGAAGAUGCGGUCUGCAGGAUGUGAAGAUCAGCUGGAACUGUAAUGCAGCCCCCCAAGAGGGCAAGCCAGCCAGAUGUGUUCUGGGUUCCCUUGGUUUCAUGGGGCCCUGUAGUGUCAGCAUGCCUUUUGGUUCCAUGAAGCCCCAAAGUGUCACAUGGCCCCUUGGUUUUUUGGGGCCCUGAAGUGUCUCAUGACUCUCCAUGAUUCCAUGAGGCCCUGCAUUAUCCCCAUGGCUUUGUGGUUCUACUACGCCCACGUUGUCACAAUUGUUCCUUUGGUUCCACAAGCUUCUGUAGUGUCACAGUGGUCCCUUGUUUCCAUGAGGUUCCAUAGUGUCACAAUAGUCUUGAUUCCAUAAGGCUCUGCAGUCCUCUGAUAUUGUCAUUGUUAUCUGGUGCGCUCAUGGAGGCUCUGGCAUUUGCAGCAGCUGAGUCGGGCACCGCCCUUCAGAUUCCUGCCCUGCAGAUCCCCAUGGCCAGCCACAGACAAUGUCCAACAGCAGCUCCAUCAGCCACUUCCUCCUGCUGGCAUUGGCAAACACGCAGCAGCUGCAACUCCUGCACUUCUGCCUCUUCCUGGGCAUCUCCCUGGCUGCCCUCCUGGGCAAAGGCCUCAUCAUCAGUGCCACAGCCUGCACCACCACCUGCACACACUGAUGUUCUUCUUCCUGUUCAACCUGGCCCCCACUGACCUUGCCUCCAUCUGCACCACUGUCCCCAAAGCCAUGCACAAUUCCCUCGGGGACACCAGGCACAUCUCCUACACAGGAUUUGCUGCUCAAGUUUUCCUCCUUUUUUUUCUGAUGUCAGCAGAGACAUAACAAUAUCAUCUCCAGACCAUCAUGUCCUACGACUGCUACAUGUCCAUCUGCAAACCCCUGCACUAUGGGAUCCUCCUGGGCAGUAGAGCUUGUGCCCACAUGGCAGCAGCUGCCUGGGCCAGAGGUUUUCUCAAGGCUCUGCUGCUCACGGCCAAUAUAUUUUUCCUGCCUCUGUGCCAGGGCAAUGCCCUGGGCCAAUUCUUCUGAAAUCCCCCAGAUCCUCAAGCUCUACUGCUCAGACACAUACCAGAGUGUUGGGGUGUGUUCCUGACCAGUUGUAGUUAAAUGAAGUUAAGUUUUGUGUGUCCCAUCUUCCCCUUUAUGUUAAAAGUGGUUCUGCCCAGCUUGUCUCCUCCCCCGAACCCCUGUCUAUUUUCUUAUCACCUCCCCUGUUGCCCCAGCAACCAAUGUAUCCUUUGUACUGUCCCUCCUUGGCGCCCUGCCUGUCACUCGGCAACCCGACCCUUUCAUGGAGAACCUUCUCUCCAGGGGGUUGAGUGAUUGUUUCAGGGGCCGGGGCUCCUCCCCAGGAUACCCCGGGUUGGUCAAGCCAAGUUGUCAGUUCCCCCUUUACUCAUUAUCCCCUGGUCCUCUAUUGGUUGGAGGCCAGGCCCCACCGUUGUACCCACCUCCCUUUAUAAAUGACUGUUACCCUGUUAACGCCGUCUCUGCCUUCUGGACACCCUCAUUCCUCCAACUGCCUUUCCUCCAAUAAACCCAGUUCCUCCAGAA